rnacentral:misc_RNA from 1 species
GAUGAAGAACGCAGCGAAAUGCGAUACGUAAUGUGAAUUGCAGAAUUCAGUGAAUCAUCGAGUCUUUGAACGCACAUUGCGCCCUCUGGUAUUCCGGGGGGCAUGCCUGUCCGAGCGUCAUUGCUGCCCUCAAGCACGGCUUGUGUGUUGGGCCUCCGUCCUCCUCCCGGGGGACGGGCCCGAAAGGCAGCGGCGGCACCGCGUCCGGUCCUCGAGCGUAUGGGGCUUCGUCACCCGCUCUUGUAGGCCCGGCCGGCGCUUGCCGACACAUCAAUCUUUUUUCCAGGUUGACCUCGGAUCAGGUAGGGAUACCCGCUGAACUUAAGCAUAUCAAUAAGCGGAGGA